rnacentral:misc_RNA from 1 species
AUUAGCUAAAGCCCAUGAAGCUGUUAUGCGAACCGACACUGAGGAAUCACGACUGUUGUCCACAGCAGGAGAAAUGAACUUGUCGAAAAUCUCUGCACUUUGAAAAAUGUGUGGAAAACAAGCAAUUACACCAAUAGCACGACAAGCAGCUGACCUAACAUUCGGAACCUCAUCACCUUUUGCAGUUUUAACACAAGAGCUCAUGA